CCCCUCAUAGUUCUCCAGGGUCUAAUUGUCUAGGGGCAAAUCUCUUUCAUCUACAACCCUUCUAGGGAGAGUUGAGAAAGAGGAAGCGGAUGGUCCAGCAUCCUCUGGUUUGGGAACCUUGGACUGAUGUGUGUGACAGGCCCUGCUGCUGAGCUCAGCCCAAGCACUGAAGCUGUCUUUACUCAUGAGGCCCUGGAGUCUCUCCCUGAAAUCAAGCAUCAGCUCUGACCUGUCCCCACCCCGUCUACCCUUCACAUCUGCUCUUUGUUUAUACAUAGCUCAAGUGCCCUCUUCUGGGACUUCCAACCUCCAGACGUCCCUCAUCAGCCAGGGAGCAGAUCUCCUGCCAGAGAAGCUAAGACUGAGGCUUCACCCUCCUCCACACAGCACGCCGGGUAGCCACCACGGCCUGGAGAGAAUCGAGGGAUUCGGUGAAAUCUCCUUGCCAUCUCUGGGGUAAAAC
rnacentral:lncRNA from 1 species